AUCCGUUCAUAUUGACCAUGAACAGCCCAAAAGUGAUGUUCAUUUCUUAUAUUUAUAUUCAUUUACUAAAACACUGUUUGUUUACAUUGCUUCUCCUAGUCUCUGGCACAGUAGUUAUUGUGACGUACGUCAACACAUAGACAUGACGUCACAUUUCGUCUCACCCUGCCUUUUAUCAACAAUGCAAGGUGCACUGUAUUUUGGAGGUUGGAGACCGCAAGAUUGGGAUUAUAAUCCAUAAAACACACCUGUACCUACCUGCCUAUUCUCUCCAGUAUACAGAAGUUGACCUCUGAUUGGCUGUAGAGACUGCUGGGGUCCAGUUCUUCCCCACAGAGAGCCGUAAACCUCUGACCCUGGGAUGCCACAAUCACCAGAUUCCUUCCAUACCUGACAAAUAACCACACACACUAGCUUUAAGCCAAAUCUACCUCUAACACUCUUCUUAAUUAAAGUGUCAGCCACAUCAUAUGUACAAAGAAAUGUUUAAGAUAGCUCUGUAUGGUUAUAGACUGUCUGUUCUCCACAUCUAGUCUGUUUGACCCAUGUCAUGGUAUUGUACAUGUAUAUAUGUACAGUAAAACUAGGGCUGAAACGAUACGCCCCCUUCACGAUAUAAUACAUACUGCAAUACCUAUUCCAUAAUUCAAUACUUUCAAUUCGACACAAUUUACAGAAGAAACCAAUAAUAACAUUGAAGAAAAAUUUAAUUACCAAGAUUCAAAAUCAUAAAUUUAAAAGCAAAAUGUUUCAAAACUGCCAAACGGUAAGAUGCAUGUUGGCUCUGUAGUUUAAACUGAUAAAGUUUAUCAUUAUUUUCGUAAGACUCAAGGCAAACAACAGUUUGAACGAUAUUUGACGCUAUUUUGUCCCUCACCCACGUAAAAAUCAUAAGUACAGGCCGAGCUUGAUGUAUUUUACUGAACCCGUUUGUAAUAAACAUAUCGAACCAAAAAUUGAGGCAAUGAAUCGAACAUUGAAUUGAGCGUUUGUAUUGAACAGUAUCACUGUUUCGGUGAAUCGUUUCGCUGUUUCGGUGAAUCGUUUCAGCCCGAAGUAAAACAUGUUUAUAACAAACACACUAAUAACAAAUUAAAGUUUAUUUUAACAUUAAAUUAAAUAUUCAAUAUCAAAUAUUUCAAGAUAUAUAUUCCCCUAUGAGAGGAAAAUAACGAGCACUGCAUUGGAUAUAACAAAGUUUGAUUAUAACGGACUGUUUUUCACUGGACCUGAAGGUUCGCUUUAAUCAUGUUUUACUGGACCUGAAGGUUCGCUUUAAUCAUGUUUUACUGGACCUGAAGGUUCGCUUUAUCGUGUUUUACUGGACCUGAAGGUUCGCUUUAAUCGUGUUUUACUGGACCUGAAGGUUCGCUUUAAUCAUGUUUUACUGGACCUGAAGGUUCGCUUUAAUCAUGUUUUACUGGACCUGAAGGUUCGCUUUAAUUGUGUUUUACUGUAAAAAUGUUUUUUAUGUUGCAUUCCAUGAAUUGAUUGAACUGAACGAGGGUGUAGUGUCAAAACCUGUCAGAUGAUGAGGAGGCAUGCCACCAUCCAAAAACUUUAGAAUAUAAAACUGUUAUUAAAAGCGGAUAACCGAAUUCAUGGAAUGACUGUAGGAUGACGCAAGAUGUUGUGAUGAUAAUACAUGGAGAUGAUGAGAUGAUGACACAUGGAGAUGAUGAAAUGAUGACACAUGGAGAUGAUGAGGUGAUGACACAUGGAGAUGAUGAGGUGAUGACAUGUGGAGAUGAUGAGAUGAUGACAUGUGGAGAUGAUGACACAUGGAGAUGAUGAGGUGAUGACAUGUGGAGAUGAUGAGGUGAUGACAUGUGGAGAUGAUGACACAUGGAGAUGAUGAGGUGAUGACAUGUGGAGAUGAUGACACAUGGAGAUGAUGAGGUGAUGACAUGUGGAGAUGAUGACACAUGGAGAUGAUGAGGUGAUGACACAUGGAGAUGAUGAGGUGAUGACAUGUGGAGAUGAUGACACAUGGAGAUGAUGAGGUGAUGACAUGUGGAGAUGAUGACACAUGGAGAUGUGUCAGUCUCGUUUGUGAAUCGUUUGUCCUGAUCUCUGGAGUUAUGCACUGUCUGCUUAGAUAUGUAGAACAGGACCCAAUCACUGGCCC